UACGUAGGAUGCAAGCGUUGUCCGGAAUUAUUGGGCGUAAAGAGCGCGCAGGCGGCCCAUCAAGUCAGAUGUGAAAUAACCAGGCUUAACCUGGUGGGGUCAUUUGAAACUGGCGGGCUAGAGUCCAGCAGAGGAUAGCGGAAUUCCCGGUGUAGUGGUGAAAUGCGUAGAUAUCGAGAGGAACACCUGCGGCGAAGGCGGGUAGCUGGGCCGACACUGACGCUGAGGCGCGAAAGCCAGGGGAGCGAACGGG
rnacentral:rRNA from 1 species